UCCCUUCCCUGUCAAUUUGUCAGUGUCUGAUAGAAAACACAUCAUUGUUUCAGGUUAGUGUUUUGGUUAUUUUUUAUUAUUUUUAUGUAUUCUGCUUAUAAAGUAAAGAGAAGGGAAGAAAGAAAUAGACAUGCUUUUCACUAAUUAUGUUGAGCUUCAAGCCAUUCUGAGUGAAGGUUUUUAUGCUGUAAUUUGUUCUCACCCCUGGGGUGUAUAGGCCUCUAUCUACAUUUCCUAAAUAUAAGCAGAUAGUAUUCAAAUCAUGAGAAAUCAGGCUUGUUAAUCCUGUAGUUCCUUUCAAAAGAGCUCUGUGCUGCUCAGGGAAUUUGGUGCUACUGCUGGUUCCUGCGCUUGGGGCUCUCCAGCCACUGCUUCUAAAUGGUGCUCUUCCUUCCAGGGGUGUGGAAAGUGUUGGAGAAUUUUGCUCAGACAUGGCUUGAAGGAAAAAAGGCCUUGAAAAUAUACAGCUGAUGGAAAAGUAAAAGGCAGCUGUAAGCAGCUAAUUCUCAAGCCUGUUUCCCAGGCAUGUUUCUGUAAACAGCAAGAGUUCUCAAGCCUGUCUUCAAUAACAAGUAAAUACCUUGUCCUUGGAUAAAGUAUGGGAAAGCAAAAGUGACAAACAUGAAGACCUUGAGAACCUUUCAUAUCAGGGUGAGAACACAAAUCUUGGUUUCAAUAACAAACCACAGGUAUUGAAAACAAAAGGAGGGGUUGGUGUUUAAUCUGUAACCAAUGAUGAGCUCGGGUUUUGCAAUAUGUAUGAACUUAAUUAACACAGUUAUAAAAAUGUGCAUGGUUGAUCAAUAAAUCGGAGUUCGAUGCUCAUCAAUCGGAUGGUCGUCUCCCUUCACUUCAUCAGGAAAGCCUUUCUGCCAUGAGCUCAUCUCCCUCUCUGUCUCUGUUCAAAGGGCAAGGAUGAUGUGUUUUAGAAAUUCAUGGAUUUCUUGAAGUGGCUCGAUGCAAUAGCCAUGAAGUUGCUGAAGCAGCAGCAGUGGCUGCCCAGUCCAGAUGUGGCACUGAGAGCACUCCCCUGCAGAUAAGGACAGAUAAGUGAUGGGAGAGGUUUGUGUCCAGAUUUUUAGAAAAAAUCAGAGUGAAGGGGAA
rnacentral:lncRNA from 1 species